rnacentral:rRNA from 1 species
AUUGAACGCUGGCGGCAGGCCUAACACAUGCAAGUCGAACGCGUGGCGGACGGGUGUGUAAUGUCUGGGAAACUGCCUGAUGGAGGGGGAUAAAUACUGGAAACGGUAGCUAAUACCGCAUACCCUCGGAUGUGCCCAGAUGGGAUUAGCUAGUAGGUGGGGUAACGGCUCACCUAGGCGACGAUCCCUAGCUGGUCUGAGAGGAGGACCAGCCACACUGGAACUGAGACACGGUCCAGACUCCUACGGGAGGCAGCAGUGGGGAAUAUUGCACAAUGGGCGCAAGCCUGAUGCAGCCAUGCCGCGUGUGUGAAGAAGGCCUUCGGGUUGUAAAGCACUUUCAGCGGGGAGGCGUUACCCGCAGAAGAAGCACCGGCUAACUCCGUGCCAGCAGCCGCGGUAAUAC